CAGUCGCCACGGGAAUACGAAGGGGGCUAGCGUUGCUCGGAAUGACUGGGCGUAAAGGGCGCGUAGGCGGAUUGUUUAGUUAGGCGUGAAAUUCCUGGGCUUAACCUGGGGACUGCGCUUAAUACAGGCAGUCUAGAGUGAGGAAGAGGGUUGUGGAAUUCCCAGUGUAGAGGUGAAAUUCGUAGAUAUUGGGAAGAACACCGGUGGCGAAGGCGGCAACCUGGUCCUUGACUGACGCUGAGGCGCGAAAGCGUGGGGAGCAAACAGGAUUAGAUACCCCAGUAGUCCCUGUCUCUUAUAU
rnacentral:rRNA from 1 species